rnacentral:rRNA from 1 species
GUGGGGAAUAUUGGGCAAUGGGCGCAAGCCUGACCCAGCAACGCCGCGUGAGGGAAGAAGGCUUUCGGGUUGUAAACCUCUGUCCUUGGUGACGAAACAAAUGACGGUAGCCAAGGAGGAAGCCCCGGCUAACUACGUGCCAGCAGCCGCGGUAAUACGUAGGGGGCGAGCGUUGUCCGGAAUUACUGGGCGUAAAGGGUGCGUAGGUGGCCUUUUAAGUUGGAUGUGAAAUACCCGGGCUUAACUUGGGGGGUGCAUCUAAUACUGGAGGGCUAGAGUGCAGUAGAGGGAAGCGGAAUUCCUAGUGUAGCGGUGAAAUGCGUAGAUAUUAGGAGGAACACCAGUGGCGAAGGCGGCUUUCUGGACGAAAACUGACGCUGAGGCGCGAAAGCCAGAGGAGCGAACGGGAUUAGAUACCCGUGUAGUCC